UGCCGGGUCGUCUAACGGUAGGACUCCGCCCUUUGAAGGCGGCUAUCGGGGUUCGAAUCCCUGCCCGGCAG
rnacentral:tRNA from 1 species